GGAGGUGCUCUGACGUGGAGGCGGGGGGAUGGGCUCUUCCGGAGAGUGCACCCCUCCCUGGUUGUGAGUUCCAGAAAGCUGGGCCUCGCCCUGCCCUCAGGAGGCACACAGCCCGAGGAAAGGUGACUGGGAAACCAAGUCAGUGGGGUUUAGAGCUGCCGUGGAGAGGAAAGCGAUGCCCACACUUCCCCAAACUUUGAAGACGAGAUUUGGGGCCUGCGGUAGGGAGGUUCCAUGUUGAGAAGGGAUGGUCCCUGUAAGCAAGGUGCUGUGCUUUGGUGAUCUGGGUAAUUGCUGCCCCAAGGACAGUCAGGUCCUUGAUUGCCUCGCGUCAACAUCGCAAGACCUGGGCCUCUUGCCCUGUGGCUUCCUGCGAACCUGCUGGCAACCUCACAGGGAUUCACUAUCCUAAGUAUGCUUAGCAGAAGGGAGAAUAAUAGGGAUAAGUUUGUCAUAUACUUUACACAGAGCUCUUGAAGGCCCUGACCAGUGGUGAAACUAUUCUGAGUGUGAGGCAGUGUGGCCGGUGGCCCAGCAAGCAGGUCAGAGGUAAUCAGGCACCUGAAUCCGGUGAGCCCCAGUGAGCAUCUCACUGGAGCAGACUGUCACCUGUGGAGCACCCCUGUGAACCACCCCUUGGUAUCCACUCGGUGGGAAGUCCCCCCACCUUAGUUGUAGAACGGCACAGUGACUGGCUUUUGCCAAUAAGAUAUAGUAAAAGUACACUGGGCCAGUUCCAGCCUAAGCCUGGAGAAGCCGAGCGGGUUUGGCACUCUGCGGAGCCCUGUGCUACCGUGUAGAAUUUCUCCCUGCUGCGAAAAGCCUCAUGGAGAGGCCACGUGGAAAGGGAGAAACCUCAGCCUCCAUCCGUCCGACCCACUGACUAAAUUCGCAUCAGCAAGACCGCCAGAAGAACCGCUCAGCUGAUCCCAGCAGAGCACAGUGUGGAUUUGUGACAACAGAUUUUGCAGCCAGUACAGAGAAGGAAUUCCUGAAUGGAAACACUAAGUCCAAGUACAAAGUCACAAAGAACUGAACUAGAGAGAAGGGCUGGAUCUGAGCAUCUCUGAGAGGCUUUGAUGGACAUGCGUGUCACCAGCCAUGUCAGCCUUGAACUUGUUUCCAAGGAUCUAUGUUGCUUCCUAAAUAUACUGAAUUCUCCAUUUAUAAAUACUCUCAAGUGGGACAUCUUCAUGGACAGACCUCAUUUCGUCUCACACAAGCUGCUGCCUCUACUUGAAGCCUCUCGCCCCUUUAUUUGGAUGGUAGGUUGGCAGAGAGGAAGAGAAAGUCCAGCAUGGAAACGUAGAGCCUGGAGUGGGACAGUCACACGGCCCUGCUGACAACUUCGGAUUCUGACACUUUCCUUUGGUGAAUAGAAUGGUUUACUUUUCGAAAAUCACAGCACAAAGAGGGGACUCUGGAAAGCAGAUGUAUCCAUGUUGCCGUUAGGUGUCCGGAAGGAGAAAGCACAGGAACUGCCCAAGGAGGCCUCUUCUCUUCUUUGUGCCAUAAUAUCACCAACACUCCUUCCAGAGGAAAGAACCCCAUGCCCAGCAGGAGAAUGAGGUCUUUGUUCAGUCCAGUAAGGGACGUUUACUGAGUGGCCUUUCUGUAGCAUGCAUUUGGUGACGAACAAUUCAUGUAUAGGUAUGUAUCACAAAUACCUUUUUCUUGCUUCUGCCAGGGCCGUGGGAGGUUGGAGUGCAGACCGCUUUAGAUGGGGGGCAGAGUACGUUGGGGAGGACCUGGACCUGGGGAGACAUUAAGUUAGACUCUGAAGGCUGGACGGGAUCUAAACUGAGGAGUUGGAAGAGGGGAACUGAAUACGUGGAAAAACGUACUGUAGAGAGUGAGUGUUAGCACUGGGAAUAGCAAAAUGUCUGGGAACUUGACUGGAUCAGUCUGGAAGGGAGAUUCAUGCAGAAACUGAGUGCAGGAUAAAUCAGAAGUGUGGGUACUGCAGGCAGGAACACCGAGAAGGGAUUGGUUCUGAUCCAUCUAGAGGCUUGAUGGUAAGAAUCUGGGUCAAGACCAUGGCAGUGAGCAUGGAAGAGAGAGGGAGAUGGGGAGAAAAGAUGGCAGACUGGAUGGGGAGACACACGAGGAAGGGCACUCAAAGAAGGAUUUUAGCACUUGAGAAUAAAUCGUACCGACUGUGGAAGAAUGGAGACAAAGGAGACUUGUUGAUGGUGGCCGUGAAGACCCCAAAGGGGAGGAAGAGACAGUGGGUCUCUGGAUGAGCACAUCUACCACAUUUACAAGUCCUGUCCCUCAUGUCACAGGAUGCUGGAAGGUGUACGUUUCUCGAUCUUGAACAAGGGAGAAAGGCUGGACUUCCAUUCAGCAGACAUUGUCAGGUGCUUGGGUGCCCCUCUACCAGGGGAGAGGGGAACACGGUAUGUUCCUUGUUCCUGGUUCCCAGUCCACUGUAGAGGCAGACAUAUUUUAAGUUCUUAAAAAUUCACAGAGCCAACAGCCUGCAGGCCCCUCAGCCUUUGGGUACCAUCAACGAUACAUAACGUGGCAGCCAGUUCCACUGCGCCUGUAGGAAGCACUCAACCAGACUGGGGGAGAGCCCGAGGAGACCGGUCCCGAGAGAAGAGAGCUGAGUGGCAAGGGCCACCUUGCUCUGAGCCCUACACUGCAGUCUCAGCAAAGAUGGACUCAGCAGAUAGCUAUGUGAGGGUCCCCACCUCCUGUUUCCUCUGAGAAGCAGCCAGCCUUACAAACCAACACGUACCCUGUCCCCGCACACCUACCACGCACACUCUUGGGAACGGCAAGGAGGCAAUAGACGGAGACCAACUCGGUUGACCAGACUGAAUUUCCCAGGUACCAGGGCCAUGAGGCAGACAGAGGCUUGGUGGUCAGGAGCAGCAGGGGCAGUACGAGAAGCGGGGACCAGGGACAGGCUGGGACUGCAGAGAUCUGGGAGAUGCCCGCGGCAGAUGCAGGGGAGAGCAGGUUGUGGGGAUGGUGGCCUUCCAACCAGCGCCAGUGUGGACAGAGGCCAACUGACGAGAUGCCUUCUUCUCAUGGAUACUGGACGCACUGAGAUGAUCCCUGCCGCCACCACAGAAGAAAGAAGGCGUCCCUAAACUACAGCAAAGCCCGAUUUAUCUACCAUGAACGGAGAUGAACUUCACACCACAAGACCUGAGUCUGUGCACGUGGACCGCUGCAGUGUGGUAUGCCAAAGGCAGACAGAGCCCCGGGUGCCUUCUAGGACAGGGAGCCGUGCUCUGGAGCUCGGCAGUCACCUCUGCGACUGUGAUGAUGUCUCCCUGUUUCAGUUGCUCGACAGGAUACCGUGGGAUGUGGAGGUCGGCACAACAUAGCCCAGGAUGGAUGAAGCCGACUGCUGCAAGAUGGUCACAAGUUCGGAUCCUGUCCCUGCAUCCUCCACUCUGUGUUCCCUGAGGGCCGACAAGGCUGCAGGACACGUGUCAGGCCCAGGCCCCGCCACUGGGUGGUCCCAUUUCUCCUGAGACUCCCUCUCAGACUCUCUAACAUCCCUUCCCUCCUCCCAGCUGGCAGGACCCAACCAUGACCCCUCACACCUCACUGAGGUGUGGAAACUCUCCUCCAUUCUUAGGGGGCCAGAAUUCGCUACAAGGGAGUCUUUUGUAAGAGCGAACAUUUAUUCAGUCAACAAACCUGGGCUGUCUGCCAGGGCCGGACACGGCUGGUCGUCAGGACACAGAGAACACAUGAUCAGUCAACGUGAAACAGCAUGACGCCAGCCUGCGCCUGGUAUUCCCAGAUGUCCUUGACUAAGUGACAAUUUACACAGUGUUUCAUUAGAUGCCUAUUAAGAGAAGCACAGCUGAUGCCAUAAACCAAAGCCACCCCCAGAAUGGGAGGGCUGAUUAAGCAGAGGCCGUGGAAACAGGUCCAAGUUGCCGGGCAGGUCCUGGAGCUGCGCCCAGGCAGCGGGGACGGCUCUCGGCAGUGCACUCGAUGGCCGGAAAGCCUUGCUAGGGUCCAGAACCUCACUUCUACCCCGCUCCCUUCUCUUCUGUUCCUAAAGAAUGAACCCAGCCAACGACCGAGUGUGGAGUGUGAGCCCCAGGCAGGGACAGGGGGGAACCCUAACGUCACCUGCAGAGAGAAGCCCCGAGCAGGCAGG